rnacentral:misc_RNA from 1 species
AGAGUUUUUAGAGUCAAUUGAUGAUGAAUUAUUUGAGAUUAAAUAAUUUGCAUUUCUCUUUCUUUUGCAUUGUUCUUUGAUGAAAAUAUAAUUUCGUCCAAGGCCCAUUUCAAAAAUGAACGGCGGCCCAUAUUAUUGUUGCAGUAUAAAUAUUUAAGCAUAAAAACGUCAAUCUACUGUUACUAGAACAGCGACAGAAAGAUGAGUUUGUUGAAUCAACUUCACAUAUGUUUUAUGUAUAUUUUGCAGUUAGAGGCUCUUCUCCACCCAUUU